CUACAAGUAACAAUUUUUAUUUAACUCAACUAUCAAAUACAGUAUAGUCUUAUAGGUGGUGCUGGAAAGGAUAUGUAAAGUGAAUAAAAAAUUGGAGGUCAUGAUAAUACCCCCAAAGUUUAUAGAGAAUAAGAAAGAUCUGAAUAAUUUGUUCUCUUUCCCUUAUUUAAUUUCUUUACCCUAUAUAAUAGCCUAUAUAUCUUGAAAACUACAAACUCAAUAAAAUUAGAAAAUGAAAAAAUAAAUGAAAUUAUUAAGUCCCAGCAUAAUAAAUUAAUGAUGGCUCAUGGAGUAAUAGUAUAGUGGAAGAGAUUACUAGUACCAGAACCCAUUCUUUGUCUCUUCGUCUCUUUCUCGGUGUCGUGUCUCGAACCGAAAACCUCUAAGUUGAAGAACGAAUUCUCAACCAAAUGACCUCUUAGAAAUACUCAUAGAAAAAGUGACAUCAUACGAACGCAUUCACAACUUUUGUUAAUACAUCUCACAAUUUUUGGAUAAUUGCACAUACUUCUUAGACAGUCGGAAUCAUGUUCACAUAUCUUUAAGAAAGCUUUAACUAAUAAUAUGGAUACAAAAAAAAAUGUUAAUAAUAUGGAUACAAAAUAUUGUUUGAAUUAAAUAAGAAAAUCUGUAAAUGAUGAAACAAUGGCUUACCGGUUGGCUUUUCGUCAAUGUCCACCACAAUAAGAAAUAUAAAAAGAAAGAUGAUUACGGUAUAAUUUUUUUUGAGAAUUUUAGCCAUAUUUUUCGGAUUUGUAUAUAACUAAUACAAUAUAAUUUAAUUGUUAUAUAAUGUACAAAUCUCAAACACACUUUACAUCGAUUAAAUAUUUUUUAGCUCUAAGAGAAAUUAUAAAUAUUUAUUCAUAUAACAUGAAUCAUUGUUAAAUAUUCUUUACGUAUAUCAACAUAUUGUGUUUGCCCUUUGGCAACCUUAGUUAGUAAAUCAAAUAAGAA
rnacentral:lncRNA from 1 species